GUUGGGGUAGGUCUUAACUUCUGACCUGAGCAAGGCUGCAGCAGGAAUGCUGAGUCACGGCUUGAAGCAGUGAUGGAGCACCUGGUGGGAAGGCAGGGCCAACCCAGGGGAGCUCAGCUGCAUGCAAUUAAAGGCACCUGAUUGACCAGAAGGGCUGGAGCCAGGAUCCACCCCUUCCCAGCCCUCAUUUAAAGGCUGGCACUCGAGGCAAGGGGAUAUUGCUGGAGCUCCCCUGUGUCCCUGAGGCCUUCUGAAGGUGCACGUGCCGGUCCGUGGGCUCCUCUCCGGGUGACAGCAUGAUGCACAGUCCUGUCUGCGUUCAGAGGGUGCGUCACGAUGCCUUCAACCAGCUUUCAGAGCAGCCUGAUGGAUGGAAGCGAGCAGGAGAUGAAGCUGGGACUGCCGGCGCUGGCUGCCCCGGGUGAUGCUGAUGGAUGGAGGCACUGAUGGUGGAGCACGUGGAACCUGUGUUACACCUCCGAGCACAUGGGAACAGACACGAGCCUGCAGGAACAGGAGUUGAGCAAAACUGCUUGAAACUUGGAGGAUUUGGGUUGCUCUGAUUGGAAACUGGGGUUGUAAGAGAUGCCCUGAGAUGCUCAGCCCAGUGCCCUGUAGUGACCCAAGGGAUGGAUGGCCAGGAGGUGGUGAACCCAUUUUAGGGCUGGAUAUCUGCAUUUUGGGCAUUGCAGGCCUGUUGCACAGCACCCUGUUGCUCCAGGCCUGGCACCUUUAGCCAUCCCCACCCACACCGUUUGGGUAAAUUAUCCCUUGAAUAAUGACAAAUCAAUUCAGUGCUGCUUCCAAGGAGAAUGAUCUGGCCUACCUUUCCCAGAAAGCAAUAAACCUGUAUGCUCUCGCUGCCAAAAAUCAGCUGCAGCAAUGCAGUCAAAGCAAGGAGUAAGUCAACCAUAGAGACAGCAAGUUAAUGAAUUAUCCUCUUCCAACUGGAGGCACUCAGAGGCAGCGCAAACGAAACAUACCCAGAACUGCUGUUGGUUUUAUUGGGCUAUUCUACCUCUUUGCCUCCUUUUUCCUCGAGGUGGGGAGGCUCAGGGGUCUCCUCCACAUCUGCCUGUGGGCUCUGAGUGCUGCUGCUGCUUGGGUGGCACGUGGGCAUCUCUUAUGGAGUGGCACCGUUUGCGUUGGCAGCACUGAUGGGGCACUCCAUCAAGCAAUUAGGAACAAAAAAAUCCAGUCCAACUCGUUCCAAAACACAAAGGCGGCAGCCAGCAUAAAUUAAUGCGUGUAGUUCUUAAGUGUUUGCUAUGGGGCUGUUUUCUUCUGCCAUCCCAUGGGAGAUAAUUAAGAAAGAGGCUCUUUCUCCGUCACUGUUCGGUAUCAGGAUAUCUCGCCGUAUCCCCUUAACUCCAGAGAACCUCCUUGGAAGUGACAGAUGAUCAAUUUGCUGUAUUGAGAAGAGGAGGUUUCUUUCUUUUCCAUUUGAAGUUUAGGCAUUAUUAUUUCCCUGGGCGGAUUGAUUCAUAUUUGCUCGGUUUCAUUAGCUGAAAAGUGCAGUCUAUGACCAAAUUAGCAGCGAGCUCUCAGUGAUCAAGAAGGAUGGAGCAGUUUGUUCUUAUCAGUAAUUGAUCACGGAGCUAUUAAUGGAUGCAAAUGUAUUUGUUCACUCUGCUUUGAUAAAUAACGGCUAGCUGCUCCCUGUGAUAUGAUUUGUGCUCGCACUUCCUCUUUGCUGUGCAGUCCCCAGGCCAUGGGCUGAAGCAUCUGGCUAACAGGAGACGGA
ensembl:lncRNA